rnacentral:rRNA from 1 species
UUGAACGCUGGCGGCAGGCCUAACACAUGCAAGUCGAACGGUAACAGGAAGCAGCUUGCUGUUUCGCUGACGAGUGGCGGACGGGUGAGUAAUGUCUGGGAAACUGCCUGAUGGAGGGGGAUAACUACUGGAAACGGUAGCUAAUACCGCAUAACGUCGCAAGACCAAAGAGGGGGACCUUCGGGCCUCUUGCCAUCGGAUGUGCCCAGAUGGGAUUAGCUAGUAGGUGGGGUAACGGCUCACCUAGGCGACGAUCCCUAGCUGGUCUGAGAGGAUGACCAGCCACACUGGAACUGAGACACGGUCCAGACUCCUACGGGAGGCAGCAGUGGGGAAUAUUGCACAAUGGGCGCAAGCCUGAUGCAGCCAUGCCGCGUGUAUGAAGAAGGCCUUCGGGUUGUAAAGUACUUUCAGCGGGGAGGAAGGGAGUAAAGUUAAUACCUUUGCUCAUUGACGUUACCCGCAGAAGAAGCACCGGCUAACUCCGUGCCAGCAGCCGCGGUAAUACGGAGGGUGCAAGCGUUAAUCGGAAUUACUGGGCGUAAAGCGCACGCAGGCGGUUUGUUAAGUCAGAUGUGAAAUCCCCGGGCUCAACCUGGGAACUGCAUCUGAUACUGGCAAGCUUGAGUCUCGUAGAGGGGGGUAGAAUUCCAGGUGUAGCGGUGAAAUGCGUAGAGAUCUGGAGGAAUACCGGUGGCGAAGGCGGCCCCCUGGACGAAGACUGACACUCAGGUGCGAAGGCGAGAGGAGCAAACAGGAUUAGAUACCCUGGUAGUCCACGCCGGAAGCGAUGUCGACUUGGAGGUUGUGCCCUUGAGGCGUGGCUUCCGGAGCUAACGCGUUAAGUCGACCGCCUGGGGAGUACGGCCGCAAGGUUAAAACUCAAAUGAAUUGACGGGGGCCAGCACAAGCGGUGGAGCAUGUGGUUUAAUUCGAUGCAACGCGAAGAACCUUACCUGGUCUUGACAUCCACGGAAGUUUUCAGAGAUGAGAAUGUGCCUUCGGGAACCGUGAGACAGGUGCUGCAUGGCUGUCGUCAGCUCGUGUUGUGAAAUGUUGGGUUAAGUCCCGCAACGAGCGCAACCCUUAUCCUUUGUUGCCAGCGGUCCGGCCGGGAACUCAAAGGAGACUGCCAGUGAUAAACUGGAGGAAGGUGAGGAUGACGUCAAGUCAUCAUGGCCCUUACGACCAGGGCUACACACGUGCUACAAUGGCGCAUACAAAGAGAAGCGACCUCGCGAGAGCAAGCGGACCUCAUAAAGUGCGUCGUAGUCCGGAUUGGAGUCUGCAACUCGACUCCAUGAAGUCGGAAUCGCUAGUAAUCGUGGAUCAGAAUGCCACGGUGAAUACGUUCCCGGGCCUUGUACACACCGCCCGUCACACGAUGGGAGUGGGUUGCAAAAGAAGUAGGUAGCUUAACCUUCGGGAGGGCGCUUACCACUUUGUGAUUCAUGACUGGGGUG